UGGCGGUCAAAGUGGCCCGGACUCAGGAUGACAAUUGACGGGGAUCAAGGGAUUGCCCAUUCUGUGCCUGUAAGAACCGAUUCGUGCCAGAGAAACUCAUCAAGUGGAGGCGGAGAAUAAAGACCGUUCGGGGCUUGUCAAUGCGACCAUUGCUUUGAUGGGAGGCUCCUCAAGCACCUGCCGUCCAUCCUGGGUUCCUGCAACUCUGUCAUCACCUGAGCUUCAAGGAGCACAAUUCAUCUGGAAAGGAGAGGGUUAGAGAUUAUCUGCUCCAUCAUCCUCACAAAUUCUGGGGUCCAGAGGAGUGACUGGACCAAAAUCACCAAGCCAGGCACUGAGCUACAACUGGAAUUCAGCUCUCUCACCUGCCAGGCCAGGCCACCCCAUCCCACAGAUCACCACCUUCCCACACCUCACUAUCUGACCUCCUGAACCUGCCCAAAAGACCCUUACCCCUGAUCUCAAGGAUGGCAGCCUUUCAGAUCCCAUUGUCUUCACCUUCAGGUGAUCCCAGCUCCUAAGGCUUUAUGCAGGUGUUCCUUCCCCAGCUCCCCCAGCUUCCAUCCUGCCCACCUCUGCACAUCUCCAGCCUUCUCAGCCCAGCUCAGUUGAGCAAACUGUUAUUGACUGUCAGUUACGUACAGCAGAUGUUUUGCCUUUUCUAUGAAACUUCCCUGGCUACUCUUCCUCAGAAUGCCCCUCUCCGCUGAGACUCCUCUACCUCCCUUGCCCAUCACUUUCUGUUUGGAAACCUAUGCAUUAUUCAAGCCCCUGCUCACAUAACGUUUCUGUAAAGCUGUGCCAGGGUGGAAAAACACCAAGGGAGGAAAGUGACCCUGAUGGAGGAACUGACUGAAGUCCAGUGUGGCUGGAGCAGAAUGAGGGGGAGGAGAGGGGCAAAGGUCAAGUUUCAAACAGCCUUGUGGGCCACACAGGGAUUUGGGAUUUCAACCUGGAAGCAAUGGGAAGCAUUGAACCCUUGUCUAGACUGAAAUUCUGGAGAAUAGAAACUACAUGCUUUUCAUCUUUGUGUCCCUCUACUCCUGCCAAUGUCUGGCACACGAUGCUCAAGAACCUUUUGCUGAAACUAUGAACCGAUAACUCAAUAAACACAUACCACCCAGCCCUUCCUUAGCUCUUCAUGGUGGCUAACCAGGUUGUAAGGAACCAAGAAGACAGAAACCAAGUCAGUGUCUCGGAAUUCUCCACAGUACCUGCUUG